rnacentral:rRNA from 1 species
UACGGGGGGGGCAAGCGUUGUUCGGAAUUACUGGGCGUAAAGGGCUCGUAGGCGGCCAACUAAGUCAGACGUGAAAUCCCUCGGCUUAACCGGGGAAUGGCGUCUGAUACUGGAUGGCUCGAGUUUGGGAGAGGGAUGCGGAAUUCCGCGUGUAGCAGUGAAAUGCGUAGAUAUGCGGAGGAACACCGAUGGCGAAGGCAAUCCCCUGGGCCUGCACUGACGCUCAUGCACGAAAGCGUGGGGAGCAAACAGG